AACUCCCAAACCCAAUGUGAACGUUACCAAACUGUUGCCUCGGCGGGAUCUCUGCCCCGGGCGCGUCGCAGCCCCGGACCAAGGCGCCCGCCGGAGGACCAACCAAAACUCUUUUUGUAUACCCCCUCGCGGGUUUUUUAUAAUCUGAGCCUUCUCGGCGCCUCUCGUAGGCGUUUCGAAAAUGAAUCAAAACUUUCAACAACGGAUCUCUUGGUUCUGGCAUCGAUGAAGAACGCAGCGAAAUGCGAUAAGUAAUGUGAAUUGCAGAAUUCAGUGAAUCAUCGAAUCUUUGAACGCACAUUGCGCCCGCCAGUAUUCUGGCGGGCAUGCCUGUCCGAGCGUCAUUUCAACCCUCGAACCCCUCCGGGGGGUCGGCGUUGGGGAUCGGCCCUGCCUCUUGGCGGUGGCCGUCUCCGAAAUACAGUGGCGGUCUCGCCGCAGCCUCUCCUGCGCAGUAGUUUGCACACUCGCAUCGGGAGCGCGGCGCGUCCACAGCCGUUAAACACCCAACUUCUGAAAUGUUGACCUCGGAUCAGGUAGGAAUACCCGCUGAACUUAAGCAUAUCAU
rnacentral:sRNA from 1 species